GCCACAAUUUGUGCAAUUUGAGAAUAAGAAAAUUCUGAUGAGUGAGCUUUUGGUCGUGUGUGUGAAUUGUGCUUUGUAGCAAACGUCACUGAAGCUAUCCUGAACCUGAACUUUACAGGGGUCAUAGUUUGAAAAUGUUUUUAAUCCCCUUUUAUGGUUGGGGUUUUGUGUUAAGCAUGCUAAAAAAAAAAAACACUUUUAUAAAUGUGUAUGUAGAAACAACACUGCUGUUAAAAGUUUGGUUUUAAAUGGCUAUGGGUACAGUUCCGUGACGUAUGUCACAGGACUCCAUGUCUGAACUGAGAUGUCAACAUGGACUGAGAGACAGACACAAAUAGGGGCGUGCCAAUUCAAAAAAGCAGUUCUCACACAUGGCUGAGCUCAGCACAAAGUUCUCCAGACUGGCAUUUUUUUUUACAGCUCAUGAAUGGCUCAGUGUACCGCUGGGCCAAGUUGAAAAAUUUCGGUUCGACCCGUACCGGUUUGAGCGUGUUCAAAGUUUUCGGUAAUUCCGCUGGACUCCCGGCUGCCACGGCACGUGCUUGGCUGAAGGUGGUCUGGCCCAGAUGCUGCAAUUUUCACACCAAGCAGAGGAAGAGUUAACUCAAAAGGAUGAGUUUCUUAUUUAAUUUUGCAACAUUCUGGCUGUGUCCUUUGAGUUUUUAGGAUAGUUUUUUUGUUGUUGCUUCUGUUAGCUUGAUGAAAAUGUGCAACAAGACCCCUUUAAAAAGUUUUAUUGUGAAGUUGUAGUCCCUUUUGAUUUUUCACUGAAUUUACUUUGUGUUCCUUGAAAAAAUCUUGAGUAAACUGAAGAAAGGCAGAAGUGAGCCCCCUCUCCCCAAUCUAUAAUGUUGCCACAGAAAGUGUUAUGGCGUGUUGUUUCUGUAUUUUAACCCCACAUGGUCAAAAUUCCAAGUAUCUUACAGUCGAGAUGAGUUUUGAUCAUAUUGGUGAUAUAAAAAUGUGAGUUCUUUAUUUGUAUACCAAGAAGUAAACCCAUAAUGCUGAAUAUAAAUCCUGUUUGACCUGUAAAUCAUAAGAAAUCUAAAGGGACUCCAGCUUUAAUCAACAUUUUGCCCAGGUUUGGAAAUCUGCCACUUUUUGCAAACCCUUUGUUACAUGAAUUUGUAUUUUUUUUUUUUUUUUUUUUUACAGAUGUGAAUGUAAAUAUGUCUUUCCCCGCUAGAGGGUCACCUGUACGGUACAUAACUGUGUGUUUUACGUGGAGCAUCAUGGGAGCACGUUGGUGUUCCUCUGUGUACUGUCUGGAACCCCCCCCAUUACUACCGCUUGAAGAGACUGAAGCUGUAACUGAGUAUGACCUUUGACCCCUUCCCGAGUGUCACCGUAUUAUCCGCAGCAGUCUCACUGUUUAUCUGAAACGACACUCGACUUGUAAGUAUAUGUUGUGAUGUCAGAUUUUCUCAGCUGGAACCUUCUUUGCACUGUGCUGUAAUUCUAAUCCCAGCAUACACGACGUGAUUGGACGACUGCACCGCGACCUAUGCAUGCUCCAUGCACACCAUUUAAUACAUUUAAACCUGUAACCUGUAAAUAUAUGAAGGUGGCUAAGCAGUGUGCGUGGUAAGCACCCAGCCUCGCCACAGUUGGUUUGGCUGAAAUGCCUUCUGGAACUUUUUUUUUCCCAAAAAUGAUACAGUAUGCCCUACCAGCAACUUACUGUUGGUGUGAUUAUUAUUAUUAUUAUUGUUGUUUUUAGAAUUGUUUUUACUAGACCAAGAUUUUAAGUUAUAUUAACUGCACUCUGUAGAGAUAAAAGUAGUCCUAAAAUCCUGUCUAGGUUUUGUUUUUUGUACUGCCAGGGCAUUGACAUUGUUCUCAGUCUCACUGGUUCACUUGCACCCUCUGGUGGAGGAAACUAGAAGCUGUAACCCCCAGGCGGCCUCAGUUUGAGCGCUCUGGUGUCAGAAUAUUUGACAAAAUCUUUCUCCCGCGCCGUGCAUGUGUCUCUGAGGAGUGGGAGCUGCUGUUUGCACCAACACAAAGACGUCUACGUUAUACUGUGUAUCCGCGACAAACCGAUUUGGUUCUACGAAAAGAGACGGAAAAACAUAAAGGGAAAACAGCUGUGACACUACAAGACAGCCUGGAUGUAAAUAAAGAAGCGCUUGCCAAAGUUUGUAAAUGCCA